rnacentral:rRNA from 1 species
AAGACCUUGCACUUUUGGAGCGGCCGAUGUCUGAUUAGCUAGUUGGUGGGGUAAUGGCCUACCAAAGCUUCGAUCAGUAGUUGGUCUGAGAGGACGACCAGCCACACUGGGACUGAGACACGGCCCAGACUCCUACAGGAGGCAGCAGUGGGGAAUUUUGGACAAUGGGCGCAAGCCUGAUCCAGCAAUGCCGCGUGAGUGAAGAAGGCCUUCGGGUUGUAAAGCUCUUUCAGUCGAGAAGAAAAAGCUGCAGUGAAUAACUGUAGUUCAUGACGGUAUCGACAGAAGAAGCACCGGCUAACUACGUGCCAGCAGCCGCGGUAAUACGUAGGGUGCGAGCGUUAAUCGGAAUUACUGGGCGUAAAGGGUGCGCAGGCGGCUUUGUAAGUCAGAUGUGAAAUCCCCGGGCUUAACCUGGGAAUU